UACGUAUGGUGCAAGCGUUAUCCGGAUUUACUGGGCGUAAAGGGAGCGCAGGCGGCGCGCCAAGUCUGAUGUGAAGCCCCGGGGCUCAACCCCGGGCAUGCAUUGGAAACUGGCGGGCUGGAGUGCCGGAGAGGUAAGCGGAAUUCCUAGUGUAGCGGUGAAAUGCGUAGAUAUUAGGAGGAACACCAGUGGCGAAGGCGGCUUACUGGACGGCAACUGACGCUGAGGCUCGAAAGCGUGGGGAGCAAACAGG
rnacentral:rRNA from 1 species